ACCCCGAAUAGAAGCUCACUCAAACCCAAGACAGUUGAGGCCUUGAUGUGUUUGCAAGAUUGGUAUCGUUGCAAACUCUAGAAAGUGGAAGAAUCUAAGAGAAAAGAGGAUGUGGUUAAUCUUGAUGAAGAAGAGGAUUCUUCUUCUGAUGAAGAAUAGCUGCCUGGAGCAAAGAGAGAGGGAGUUGAUAUUGGUCUGUUGGAAAAAUGAGGAGCUGCGCAUGAAGCAAAGAGAGGGUUGCUGUUACAUCUACUACUCUUCUCUUUAAUUUGGUCCCAUCUUCCAUACUUAUCUUGGACUGUAAUAAUUAUGGAGUCUCUAUUUUGGUUUUCGUCAGACUUUCAACAAUGUUUAUCAUGCUUGUACGCUGUGAAACUAUUAAGUGAUG